rnacentral:lncRNA from 1 species
UAAAGUCAAGAUUUUCGUGUGGUUAGUAUUGAAAAAUAAAGUUCUAAAAGUGGACAAUCUUCAGAGAAGGGGCUGGAGCGGGGAUGACCGAUGUGUAUAUUGUUUGGAGGAAUUGGAGACGGUGGAUCACCUGUUUGCAGUGUGCGAUGGGGUCAAACCUCUGUUGGAGAGUCUUUUACCUAACAAACGUUUUGUAUGUAACUGUGCUACUGUCAAGGGGAUCUGGGAGGGGAGCGACAGCAUCGGAGGAGCACAGGGGGGUAAAGAGUUAGCGAUUAUUGCCGCUACUUGGUGGACCCUCUGGCUGGAAAGGAG